ACAAACUUGGUCAUUUAGAGGAAGUAAAAGUCGUAACAAGGUUUCCGUAGGUGAACCUGCGGAAGGAUCAUUAUCGAAUUGUUAAAACUUGGUUGUCGCUGGCUCUCUCAUUUAUUUGAGAUUGCAUGUGCACGCCUAGUUCAAACUUUUCAAUUUAACCUCUUGUGCACUUUUGUGGAUUGUGGAUAGAUAAAUUUUGUCAAAGUAACAUUUGGUUUUGGGGAUCGCACUCUGCUUUCUCCUACUAUUUAUUUGUUCAUGAUUCAUGUCUUUUAUAAACCAUUAAUAAUAAACCUAGAAUGCUUUUUUGAGUUAGGGCUUUAGUUUUUUAAACCCUUCUUAAAAUCUUAUAUAACUUUCAACAACGGAUCUCUUGGCUCUCGCAUCGAUGAAGAACGCAGC
rnacentral:misc_RNA from 1 species